CGGGGUGUGGCUCAGUUGGUAGAGUGCGCGGUUUGGGACCGUGAGGUCGCCGGUUCGAGUCCGGCCACCCCGACCA
rnacentral:tRNA from 2 species